rnacentral:misc_RNA from 1 species
GAUGAAGAACGCAGUGAAAUGCGAUAAGUAAUGUGAAUUGCAGAAUUCAGUGAAUCAUCGAAUCUUUGAACGCACAUUGCGCCCGCCAGUAUUCUGGCGAGCAUGCCUGUUCGAGCGUCAUUUCAACCAUCAAGCCCCAGGCUUGUGUUGGAGCCCUGCGGCUGCCGCAGCCUCCCAAAACCAGUGGCGGGCUCGCUAUCACACCGAGUGCAGUAGUUUACUCUUCGCUCAGGGCGUGUGGCGGGUGCUAGCCGUGAAACCCCCAACUUCUCAAGGUUGACCUCGGAUCAGGUAGGAAUACCCGCUGAACUUAAGCAUAUCAAUAAGCGGAGA